rnacentral:lncRNA from 1 species
AAUUCUAAAGGUUCAAACUUUUACUCUUUUGCUGCUUUAUUUCACAUUUAAAUUGAGAAACCCAAAUUCAUGUUAGUGUAAAGAUUUCCAGCCAUUCAAUUGAAUCACACACUAUACGAAAUUCCAGCAAUCAAUUUCCCCACAGAGCAAAUCCAGAUUUUUGUAUUCUAAGGUUUUGAAACAAAUGACAUUACAAAAUCAUGUGCAUACCAUCUAUUCAUAUAUAUUUACACAUGAAGCAUGACUGUUUUUAAAAGAAAAUGAAGAAAUGAGUCUCGAACUUUGAUUUUUGCUUGUCGAUGGGUUGAGUUGAGAGUAGAGAGAGGCAGAUGCGGUCGGCGGCGGUGGUUCUCCUGCUGCUGUCGGCCGGAGUUUUGAAGGAGAGGACGGCGGCGGCCACGGGUUGCUGUCGCCGGUCUGAUUCAAUGCGAGAGAGAGUGGUGGUGGUGGUGGUUCGCCACUGUCUGAUUCAAUGCGAGAGAGAGAGGGCAGCUCCGGCUGCUGCUCGGUCGAGGGAGAUGGAAGAGAGGUGAGACGGUGGUCGUUGAUGUCGUCUGACUUAGGGGCGAACGAGAGGUGGAUGGUGUACCUAGGGCUCGGCGGUGGCCCAAUUGCCGUUCGGCUGAAGAGUGAGAGUUCAAGCGGCUGCCUUGUCGCUGGGAAUUUAAGGGAAGGGUCUCAGGGGUUGGGGAUCGGGUCUGUGUAUUGAGGGGCGAUGGCGGCGGCCCUAUCGUCGUCGUUCGCUGGAGAUUUAGAGGGAGGCGGCGGCGUUCUCGCCGCAGCCAAGUGAGGAGAUGACGAUGGGGUGAGGAAGAGAGAUGUGUGAUUGGAGAGAGAGAGACCAGAAAGGUCGAGGAAGAGCAGGUGACCGGCGGCGGUCGCCGUCGCCGGAGGAGAAGAAAGAGUGAGAGAAGGUGUGUGUGUGUGUGUGUGUGUGCGCGUGCGUCUGUGUAUGCGUGAGUGUGUGCGUGUGUUUGAUUGUUGAGAGGGAAAUAGAGAGAUGUUGGGGGCGCAGCUAGGGGAAGAAGAGAAGAAAGAAAUGGGAGUGUUGGGCUAGGGCUUGGUUUGUGUGUUGGGCUCCCCUUUUGGGCCGAGUCAUUGGGCCGAUUUAUUUCAAUUAUUUGGGCCGAUUUUCCUUGGUUUUAAAGCUUCAGUUGGGCCAUUGUUUUAAAUAAAUGUGUUGGGCCCUUAUUUUAUUUAAGGACUUUGGACUGCCUUCAAUUAAUUUAAUUGGGCUGCCCUAUUUUAAUUAAUUGAACUAUUAAUUAGUUUGAUUAAUUAUUUUCAAAGAUUAAUUUUCAUAAUAAUAUUUUAUUAUUAUUAGUAAGUGCAUAUUUUAAGUAAAUUACUUAUUAUAUGUUAAGCAUGACAUGAAAUUGCAUUUAUUUUUGCAAUAAAAAUAUUCAUGAUUUAAUUGGUUUUAAUUACAAUUCCAAUUAUUUAAGAAAGUCGAGUAAGAAUAUUGUUGGUGUUCUUAACUCAAGAGAAUUGUUUUCAAUUAUUUAUUCAUUAAAUUUUGAAAACCCGGCUAAGUGAAUCAUAGAAUAUUAAGCACUACACCAUGACUUAAGAUUAGCUUCACGAGACCUAUUAAGAAUAGAAUUUCUUGUAGGCUUUGUGACCAAGGAGGAUUAGCACUGCUUUUCCGAGUCAGUUUAUAUGGUUAAUCUUCAGGCUUUGCCUAUCCAGGUGGGCUUACUUUCCAAAUGUACAAAGUAUGAUUGAGUUAUUAAGCUCUAAAUGUUUCAAUGAAAUGCAAAUUGUUUAUUUAAUGUAAUGAAAACUGUUUAUCCAAUAAAAUGUUUAUGUGCACUCUGCUCUGUUUAAGGCUCGCGCAGUUAAUCAAUUGAGGUUCUCUUAUGACCUAACACGUUGUUUGAGAAUUGUGUACACUUGUUAGUUGACUCGGUGGGUUGAUCUCCAUCGGGCACUAACUAAGAGGCGUUAUAAGGGUGCUCGGCUGGAUGUGUUCCGGAGCAUGAAAUAUCAGGGCCUGCCUGGGUAGCGUCCCGAGGUCAAUUCAACUUGUCUGGGUUACGCCCUCAGUUCAAGUAAAGCGGGAGACAGGGAUCCGUCGGUGGCUAGAGGUCCGGGAGUCACAGCGAGUAACAGAAAGGGAGUGUGACAUGUGCGCACAAAUGAAAGAAAAUGUUUUAACAUGCUUAGAAGUUAUUUCAAUUUAAAACCUUCUAAGUCAUGUCAAGUAUGAUUGGAUAAACUGUCUUUAUUAAAAUAUGAAAUGUUUCAGAAAAUGCAUGCCCACUAAGUACAUUAGUACUUAGCCCAAAAAUACUUUCAAAUGUUUUCAGGUUGGCUGGCCGGUGCUGACGGGACGGAGCUGAGGCUAGUGAUAAAUUCCUAUGUUAGACUUCCGCUGUAGCAAUUACUCAUAUUAGUCUUUUGUUUUCCCAACUUAAGAUCUUCAUGUUAAAUUUCAAAUGAUAUACCUGACCGAACUUAGGCUCUUCACUACUAAAUUUAUGCAAAUGAAUGUCGGUUGUCAGAAGCAUGAAACAAAACUUGUGAUCCAAAGGGGCAUAGCCCGAC